AAUCCAUAUCUUUAUUAAUAAAGUAGAGAUAUCUGCUCUCUCAGACCAGCACAUCAGCAAGAAGGGUGGGGGGUUUUUGCGCCACCUGGCACUAUAAAAAAUUAAGACAUCGACUGAUUUUGUAACUCAUAUGUGCUGGACCAUUGCAUCCUUUUCAUAAUCUCUCACCCAACAAAUUCAACAAAGCAGCCUAACUCUAAAACCUCGACAAAGCCCAUUUGUUGAAACCCUUCUUCUUUGAUUGUCUUCGCCCGAUCACAUCCUCCUCACUCACGGCGAUAACAAAUUGGAGUUGUAACGUCUUUCGUCCUCAUUGAAUCCUUUUCAUAAAUUUUACCCACUAACUCUUUCAUUCAAAUUCUCCCAAGACGUUGCUUUUAGUUUCCCAUGACCUCAGCCCCACCGCAAAUCCCUAAUUUCUACUACUAUAAAUAGGGAUGCAGAAUUCUCGAAAUCUCACAGCUUCACUCGAUUCAACCUUCUGCCUCCUCACACACACAAGCAGCAACUAUGAUUUCAUCCCAUAUAUUUCUCUAUAAUUUGAAGCCCAGUUGUUGUUCUCAAACGGUGGUAGCGCGUCUUCUGUGUUUCGGGGAAGCACGCAACGUCAAGAAAGGAGGGGAUCUGAUGGGAGUUGACAUAGUGCUUCUUGAUGAUCCACACUGCUGCAAGGGUGCACCGGCUUCACACUUUCAAACACCUUCUGAAAGAGGGAGACAUUUAGGAGAUCAGUGGCUUUCAUGUUGCAAGAACUAUCACCCACUUCAAGCUGUCAGAUUCAACCGUAGUCCAAAUAUUGAAACAACCAAUGGCUGGGUCUACAUUUCAUGCUCAAAAUGUUCUCGGAAGCUUCAGCGUGGCCUAUCUUGAUUCACAUGUACAUCAUGUCACACUAGCGCCGUAUCGUGUGGAAAUUUCCAUGACAGAUGCGACAGACUCGGCUGUGUUUGUGUUGUUUGACUAAGAGAUGUCUAAGUUAGUGUGCUUGCGGCAGAAGUCGUCGAGUUCAUGGUUGCAGGUGUUGGCGACCCCCUUGAGCUUCCACCUUUUACCUAAGAAAGUGUUGGGAAAACAUACAAGUUCCAGCUGAGCUACUAAAGUUCAAUUUUUCCACAAAGCAUCAGACCUUCACUGUGUCACACAUCUUUGAUAUGCCAUUAUCGCAAAUCACGUAAGCCUUAUUAAACUAAUAACUUUGCACUCUUCUGCAUUAACAUGUUAUAAGGGAAAUGGACAGAGAGGGAACUAUUUUCCAGGAGAUGAAAUGCCUGGUGCUAAAUGUCUCUCUUGCAACUGCACUGAUGGUCGAAGGUCAAGUGGUAAUGUCCAGAGCAACAAAAUUGAUGGAAAACCUUCGGACCAGGCGAGCCCAUGAGAAGUUUCAGCUGCACAACACAAUUGGGAGGGGAGCGUUCUAGAUGCAGACCCGGUUCAAGUUGCAUGCAACAAACACCCCCAAAGAAGUCAUGCACCGGAUAGUUGAUUAAUCUAUUGACCUUGAGACCUCACUCUUUCUCUUUUGGCUCAUUGCAGUGUUGUUUUACAUGUCUGGUAUUUCUCUCAAGCUCCAUUUAAAUGAUGUUUUUGUAUCUAAAAAUCUCAGUUUUAUGGUU